GCCUGGGUGGCUCAGUCGGUUAAGCGUCUGACUGCGGCUCAGGUCAUGAUCUCGCAGUUCGCGAGUUCAAGCCCCGCGUCGGGCU
rfam:Felis catus isolate Cinnamon breed Abyssinian chromosome D4, whole genome shotgun sequence.